CUUGGUCAUUUAGAGGAAGUAAAAGUCGUAACAAGGUCUCCGUUGGUGAACCAGCGGAGGGAUCAUUACCGAGUUUACAACUCCCAAACCCAAUGUGAACGUUACCAAACUGUUGCCUCGGCGGGAUUCUCAAGCCCCGGGUGCGUCGCAGCCCCGGACCAAGGCGCCCGCCGGAGGACCAACCAAAACUCUUUUUGUAUACCCCCUCGCGGGUUUUUUUUAUAAUCUGAGCCUUCUCGGCGCCUCUCGUAGGCGUUUCGAAAAUGAAUCAAAACUUUCAACAACGGAUCUCUUGGUUCUGGCAUCGAUGAAGAACGCAGCGAAAUGCGAUAAGUAAUGUGAAUUGCAGAAUUCAGUGAAUCAUCGAAUCUUUGAACGCACAUUGCGCCCGCCAGUAUUCUGGCGGGCAUGCCUGUCCGAGCGUCAUUUCAACCCUCGAACCCCUCCGGGGGGUCGGCGUUGGGGAUCGGCCCUCCCUCUGCGGGGGCCGUCUCCGAAAUACAGUGGCGGUCUCGCCGCAGCCUCUCCUGCGCAGUAGUUUGCACACUCGCAUCGGGAGCGCGGCGCGUCCACAGCCGUUAAACACCCAAACUUUCUGAAAUGUUGACCUCGGAUCAGGUAGGAAUACCCGCUGAACUUAAGCAUAUCAAUAAGCGGAGGA
rnacentral:rRNA from 1 species